AGUGCUUCAGCCAUCCAUCCAUUUUCUGUACCGCUUCAAACUUUUCAAUUUUAGCUGCCAGUCGAUGAGUUUCUUAUCGUUCUUUGUUAAAUCAGGAAGACGAAUAUGAACAUUUAAAGACACGUUCCAUGAACUUUCUGGGGUUCCGGAUUGUUCGUGUCGAACGGUGCUGGAGCCUAUCCCAUCUAUCUUCGGGCAAGUUUUUGGGAUGUGGAAACCGGAGUACCCGGAGAAAACCCACACAAGCACCGGGAGAACAUGCAAACUCCACACAGGCGGGGCUGGGAUUUGAACACUGGUCCUCAGAACUGUGAGGCGGAUGUGCUCACCAGUCAUCCGCCAUGUGUGGGCUUAGGAGUUGAAUUUGUUCUGUGACCAGGCUUGUAACUCAAAACAGUCAAAGUUGAAAAUCAUGAUGCCCCAUUAAAAUGAAUGGAAAUGCCAUUAAUUCGUUCCAACCCCAGAUUGUACUCCUUCUGCUGUGCGCACCUUGGCCAUCUGGGGGCAGUAUAAUACAGACAGUGACACACGUGAAGAAGAGUUUUACACAGUAUGCUGCUGUAAUAUUAGUUUUGUUCCCCAAAGGAUAAAGAAUGUAUGCCUAUGUGUACUCUUAUAUUGCCUGUCUACAUGUUUUGCUCCACUGUUUGUGUUCAAAUUUCUGUCCCUUAAACAAUUAUAACACCACGACUAUCGAUGCUUUUCGUUCGCCCAUCUACAGCAUUUUGCAUUGUUUGUUAGUAAUAAGGGCUUUCCUGAGGCAAAGCUACAGUAUGUGGUUGUUUGAAAUACACUUGUAAUUCUCUUAAUUUUACAUGUACUUUGACAGUAAACGUCAACUGAAGAUGGCAUUAAAUUAAA